rnacentral:rRNA from 1 species
CGAGCGGAAACGAGAUAUCUGAACCUUCGGGGAGCGAUAUCGGCGUCGAGCGGCGGACGGGUGAGUAAUGCCUAGGAAAUUGCCCUGAUGUGGGGGAUAACCAUUGGAAACGAUGGCUAAUACCGCAUAAUCUCUUCGGAGCAAAGAGGGGGACCUUCGGGCCUCUCGCGUCAGGAUAUGCCUAGGUGGGAUUAGCUAGUUGGUGAGGUAAUGGCUCACCAAGGCAACGAUCCCUAGCUGGUCUGAGAGGAUGAUCAGCCACACUGGAACUGAGACACGGUCCAGACUCCUACGGGAGGCAGCAGUGGGGAAUAUUGCACAAUGGGCGCAAGCCUGAUGCAGCCAUGCCGCGUGUAUGAAGAAGGCCUUCGGGUUGUAAAGUACUUUCAGCAGUGAGGAAGGUUCAUACGUUAAUAGCGUAUGGAUUUGACGUUAGCUGCAGAAGAAGCACCGGCUAACUCCGUGCCAGCAGCCGCGGUAAUACGGAGGGUGCGAGCGUUAAUCGGAAUUACUGGGCGUAAAGCGCAUGCAGGUGGUCUGUUAAGUCAGAUGUGAAAGCCCGGGGCUCAACCUCGGAAUUGCAUUUGAAACUGGCAGACUAGAGUACUGUAGAGGGGGGUAGAAUUUCAGGUGUAGCGGUGAAAUGCGUAGAGA